GUUUUAAUAGUUUAACAAAAACAUAGGUUUUGUAAACCUAAAAUAAGAAUAUUCUUUUAAAACU
rnacentral:tRNA from 1 species